rnacentral:rRNA from 1 species
UCCUGCUGACGAGCGGCGGACGGGUGAGUAAAGUCUAGGAAUCUGCCCAGUAGUGGGGGACAACGCGGGGAAACUCGCGCUAAUACCGCAUACGCCCUACGGGGGAAAGGUGCUUUAUUGUACCGCUAUUGGAUGAGCCUAGAUCAGAUUAGCUAGUUGGUGGGGUAAAGGCCCACCAAGGCGACGAUCUGUAGCUGGUCUGAGAGGAUGAUCAGCCACACUGGGACUGAGACACGGCCCAG